rnacentral:rRNA from 1 species
GACGAACGCUGGCGGCGUGCCUAAUACAUGCAAGUAGAACGCUGAAGGAGGAGCUUGCUUCUCUGGAUGAGUUGCGAACGGGUGAGUAACGCGUAGGUAACCUGCCUGGUAGCGGGGGAUAACUAUUGGAAACGAUAGCUAAUACCGCAUAAUAGUAGAUGUUGCAUGACAUUUGCUUAAAAGGUGCAAUUGCAUCACUACCAGAUGGACCUGCGUUGUAUUAGCUAGUUGGUGGGGUAACGGCUCACCAAGGCGACGAUACAUAGCCGACCUGAGAGGGUGAUCGGCCACACUGGGACUGAGACACGGCCCAGACUCCUACGGGAGGCAGCAGUAGGGAAUCUGCGGCAAUAGACGGAAGUCUGACUGAGCAACGCCGCGUGAGUGAAGAAGGUUGUCGGAUCGUAAAGCUCGGUUGUAAGAGAAGAACGAGUGUGAGAGUGGAAAGUUCACACUGUGACGGUAUCUUACCAGAAAGGGACGGCUAACUACGUG